CCUACGGGUGGCAGCAGUGAGGAAUAUUGGUCAAUGGCCGGAAGGCUGAACCAGCCAUGCCGCGUGAAGGUCAGUGCCCUAUGGGCGUUAAACUUCUUUUGUGCGGGAGCAAUACUGGUCACGUGUGGCCAGACGAGAGUACCGUACGAAUAAGCAUCGGCUAACUCCGUGCCAGUAGCCGCGGUAAUACGGGGGAUGCAAGCGUUAUCCGGAUUUAUUGGGUUUAAAGGGUGCGUAGGCUGUGAGGUAAGUCAGCGGUGAAAUGCCCCCGCUCAACGGGGUGAAGUGCCAUUGAUACUGCCUGGCUGGAAUGCGGAUGCCGUGGGAGGAAUGUGUGGUGUAGCGGUGAAAUGCAUAGAUAUCACACAGAACACCGAUUGCGAAGGCAUCUCACGAAUCCGCGAUUGACGCUGAUGCACGAAAGCGUGGGUAUCAAACAGGAUUAGAUACCCCUGUAGUC
rnacentral:rRNA from 1 species